AACAGAUGGUCCCACUUCCAUCUCUUGAGUUCAUUUAACAUGUUUAAAGAAAAAAUAAACAAUAUGAGUAUGAGUUCGUGAAUAUUUUAGUGCCUUGAUUCUUGGUUCAUUCUUUCUGUCAAGUAGCAAAUUAGUACUUACAAAAGCCAACAAAAAAAUAGUACUAUUAAUUCCACCACUAAUCACAUCAAUUCCAAGGAAAAUCAAUAGAACUCAUUUAUGUGACCAUUUACUUGCUGAGGAGAAAGAAUUCAAGUGUGUUUCAUUUGUUGCACUUAACCAUGAAGGCAUCAAUCAUCAAUUGGUUUUCUUUAAUGGCAUGACUCCACCCAUCGCACACAAGGCCAAGAGAAUUAAACUUCUUUGUUCAUAUUGGGUGCGUGAUGAAUUCAUAGCCACAUUUGAUAUUUCAUCCUUAUAAUUGUUAUUCAUUUAUUUUAAUUUUUAUUACGUUUUAUAUUUUUUCUAGAAUAUUCAUAUUGUUAAGUGAUAUUGUGUUAUAGUAGGACUCUUUGACUCAAUUGGGGUUACAAAUUUUAAAUUGUAAGUUAUUGUGUGAAAUAAAAUAAAGAAUUGGAUCGAG
rnacentral:lncRNA from 1 species